rnacentral:rRNA from 1 species
UACAGAGGGUGCAAGCGUUGCUCGGAAUCAUUGGGCGUAAAGGGUUGGUAGGUGGUCUCAUUUGUCGGAGGUGAAAGCCUUGGGCUUAACCCAAGAAGUGCCUCCGAAACGGUGAGACUAGAGUUCUGGAGAGGCUAGGGGAAUUCCCGGUGUAGCGGUGAAAUGCGUAGAGAUCGGGAAGAACGCCGGCGGCGAAAGCGACUCUCUGGUCGGACCCUGACGCUGAGGCGCGAAAGCUAGGGGAGCAAACGGG